rnacentral:rRNA from 1 species
CUACGUGCCAGCAGCCGCGGUAAUACGUAGGGGGCAAGCGUUAUCCGGAUUUACUGGGUGUAAAGGGAGCGUAGACGGCGAAGCAAGUCUGGUGUGAAAACCCGGGGCUCAACCCCGGGCCUGCAUUGGAAACUGUUUUGCUCGAGUGCCGGAGAGGUAAGCGGAAUUCCUAGUGUAGCGGUGAAAUGCGUAGAUAUUAGGAGGAACACCAGUGGCGAAGGCGGCUUACUGGACGGUAACUGACGUUGAGGCUCGAAAGCGUGGGGAGCA